rnacentral:sRNA from 1 species
GGGGCAGGCUCGGGGAGGAGCGCAACUGGGAGGAUGUAGACUCCGGCUCCAGGCUAAGCAUUCAUCCAGUGCACAACCGCUUCCUCUGUUCUGAGGAAGGUGUCAAUCAAGCUCUCUGCGGUUCAUAGAAGGAAACUGAGGCUCGGAGCAUGGAAGGCAGAUCCGAAGGGGCUUGAGGUAGUGGGAAGGAGACUCAGGAUUUCACCAAGGCUAGGCCUGGGACAAAGAGUGCACUGGGCGUGGGUAGCCUGCGGUGCAAAGCUAACACUAUAAAGGGAGGGCCUUCGGAGGCAAAGCCCUCCGACUGUGAAAUAGCUCCCCGCAAGAAGAGCCGUGAUGUGCAGUCAGCCAGCAGCUUGCCCUACUGAAGAAACUGAAGGAGAAAUUUUUUUUCCUAACGUCACACAGAAGUAAUGAAGGAGAAAUGCCAAGGCAACCCUUCUUAAAAUGUGAACAGUAGCUAGGCGUAAGAGUCAGGAGGCAUACACCGGAACUCCUGACGUGUCCAGCCCACGGACUCUGGGCUCGUCGAAGCCUCAGUGCAACCUCUUGUCAGAUGAGAGGGAAAGAUGCUUAGCAAAAUGGCAAACCCGGUGGAUCCCUCAUAAACCAAGGUUCGCAUUAGUGCGAAGGCAAAAUACUCUCUGGGGCACUGGUCAGAAAGAUGUGUGUGAGAGUACUUCCGUGCCCGUGUGAGACGGGAUUUCCCCCAUGGCGUCAGACACCAUUUGGAAAAUGGAGCAUUUAUAAUGGAGCGGAAUGCUGCAAACGCAGCUUCUCUAGGGAAGAAUUCGCCUACCACACCAACGUGAAGCUCUAACACAGGUAAAAACACCCUGGGAUCCCAUAAUUACAAACUGACAAGGCUGGUGUUUCAGUAACAGAGAAAGCAAGACCUCAGAAUGUGUUUCCUAGUUUGGUCUUUCAUGAGAAGUAGCCAGGAAAGCCACAAGGCCUCCGGGGAAUCCCAGGCUGGCUCUUCCUCCUGCCUACUCCUCUUAGCACAGCAUAAGUCAUUCCUAAGGUAGGCAUCACGACGUGAGAUGAGCAAGCCACAGAAAGGGCUGCGGAGCUCUCUUGGCUCUGGCUCAUUUGUUCCAUACCCUGUGUCAUACUCUGCCGUUCUUCCUGGCUUGGCCAGCACUGCCCAGUGGCCACAUGAAGGGACGCUCACAUCCCUCUCAGCUAAUCAGUUUUUUUCAGAGGCUGCCUGUGGCCCUCCCAGUAUGGGCUGAAGGCAAAAGUACAAGCUGCUUGGCCCUGCGCGCCGACUCUGAGCCCUGGCACGCUUACACUUUGGAAUUACCUAACGCAUCCUUUCCAACCCCAGCAGUGUCUUCCAGACAAAGGGAAGGAAAUCUGAACUCUGUGUCUCCCUCAAGCUGUUGGGAUAUAGGAAAGACUAGAGAACAUUUUGUUCAAGCCCUCCUGUCAGAGAAGAGGUGACUGAGGUUCCAGAGUGCAGAGGGACUGUACCUCUGAUCAUUCUACUCAGUCGCUGGAGAAGCAGAGAGCCGUCGUCCAAAAUGACUGCAACUAAUUCUAGGGAUGAAGAUGGAGUCAUAAGGGGAUGCUUGCAGAGGAAGGGCCUUCACGCCCUCGUGUUCACAGAUGUCCAGGGGAUAUUCUAAGGUGCCCGUUCAGGUCACGUUUGCUGUGCAGGUGUUCUAGAAGUCCCUUCAGCUCCAUGUCUGUCUUAGUCAGACUGUUUCUAUUGCCGUGACAAGGCACUGUGACCAGAAAGCCCCUCAAAUGCACACGAUCUUUAAGUUCCCCCCUGGAUGCUGAUCCUGCGUGCAGCACUGGAGAGAGCACCGGAAGUCCAGGUCCCCGCCUCGACAGCAGCACAUGCGCAUUACUAUAAUAAUUAGACAAGACCAACGGACCUCCCCUCGUACUUGUGUUAGGAUACCAAACGGAAAUCAGCAACGGUGGUAAGAUCUAACAGAAACCGCCAGUCCUCUGUCAAAUCGGCACGAGUCAGGGGGAGCGACCAGGACCAGCCAGGACUCCAGGAGAAGUUUUCUGCCGUGCCUCUCUCAACAAAGAUCAGCAAAGACAAAGACUCGAGACCAACCAAUGAAGCGAGGCAAGGUCUUCUUACCUUAGCAAAACAACACGUGAUUCCGUAUCACGUGACGUAUCCAGAAACUUACACCUCCAGUGUCCUUCAUUUUUGCCCGUGG